GUGUCAGCAGCCGCGGUAAGACGAAGGGGGCUAGCGUUGUUCGGAAUUACUGGGCGUAAAGCGCACGUAGGCGGCCUUUCAAGUCGGAUGUGAAAGCCCCGAGCUUAACUCGGGAACUGCAUUUGAUACUGUUGGGCUAGAGACCGGGAGAGGAUAGCGGAAUUCCCAGUGUAGAGGUGAAAUUCGUAGAUAUUGGGAAGAACACCAGUGGCGAAGGCGGCUAUCUGGACCGGUACUGACGCUGAGGUGCGAAAGCGUGGGGAGCAAACAGGAUUAGAUACCCCGGUAGUCC
rnacentral:rRNA from 1 species